AUAGCGUAUACUAAAAUUGUUGCGGUUAAAAAGCUCGUAGUUGGAUCUUGGAAUGUGUUCAAGCGGGUCAGCUUCUGGCUGUUCGCUGCUUGACGUGUUCUUCUAUUUGGUUUUGGUGCGGUGCGCUUAACUGCGUGUCGCUCCCGGCCGAAACGUUUACCUUGAAAAAAUUAGAGUGUUCAAAGCAGACCUGUUUGAGUCUGAAUAUUCGUGCAUGGAAUAAUGAAAUAUGAAUUCGGUUCUAUUUUGUUGGUUUUCGGAACUCGAGUUAAUGAUCAAGAGGGACAGACGGGGGCAUUCGUACUCUGCCGUUAGAGGUGAAAUUCUUGGAUCGGCGGAAGACGCGCAACUGCGAAAGCAUUUGCCAAGAAUGUUUUCUUUAAUCAAGAACGAUAGUCGGAGGUUCGAAGACGAUCAGAUACCGUCCUAGUUUCGACUGUAAACUAUGCCAGCUAACGAUCAGACAGAGUUCUCUACGACUUGUCUGGCAGUUUCCGGGAAACCAAAGCGUUUGGGUUCCGGGGGAAGUAUGGUUGCAAAGCUGAAACUU
rnacentral:rRNA from 1 species